GGGCCAUGCUCCUCCCCAGACAUCUUUCUCCCUGGUGACCCAUUCAGUGUUCCUUCUCCCACUCACUCAUGUCUGCCCACUACCAUCAUCUUUCUCUCCCCUUGUUUAACUACCUGUGAAUCACCUACUUGAACUGUUACUAAAUGUGAACUGGAGGUAGAAAGACCUUGAAGAUGACUGCAAUCCCCACCCUUUACCAAAGGGCAAAGUGAGGCCUGAAAGGCUCCUGCACACCUUCGUUAUUUUACACUCACUCUUCCUGGCCUUGCGCCCCUGACAUGAUCCAGGCCAGCCAGGGAUCUUCCAAAAACACCCAUCUAUCCGCCCAUGAUCCCGCCUGGCAACCCAUCAAAGCGCGGGCAUUGUUUCCUUCUCUGCGUCCUCCUGAGGUGCAGUAGAAACGGAGGGCCUCUCCUCUGUGACAGGCUCCAUCUCACCCAAGAGCCUUUCAACACUAAUCCACCCCUUGCCCAUACCUGGCUCUGGGCUUCUCAUCUUUGCGUCUCAAAUCUCUCAGGUUCGGGAUCCUACAGUGCUUGCAGCUUCUGCCUCAUCACCAACCUGCCUCCCCUCCUAGACGAUGAGCUCGGUGGACAGUGCCUCGACUGAUCUGUUCACCACUGUGCUCACAGCCAACGUUUGAUAAGGAAUAAGGAGAAAAAUGCUCAGAGAAGCCCAUGAUCCCAGCAGGGAGGUGUGCAAUCAAGUGGUGUGAAGACAGGCAGUGGCACAAACCUAUAAUCCUAGCUACUCAGGUGCCUGUGGCAGGAGGAUCUCAAGUUCAAGGCCGGCCUGGGUAACUUAUCAAGGCCUUGUCUGAAAAGAAAAUUUGUUAAAAGGCUCGGCGUGUCGCUGUUGUACAGCAUUUCCCUAGCAUAUGCGAGAUCCUAGGGUUCAAUCCACACCAGAAAGAAAAAAAGGAAAAGAAUGAAGUUCUGUGCAGGUAAUUGCAAGUAUUUUUGUAGGAAAAGGUUGAGAUGUGCGUAGAAACAAAAACUAAAGUUAGGGUAUUCGCUGCCUGAUCAGGCCGUGCAGUCUGCCCCUGCGGCCCGCGCAGGUCCUCAGUGCAGGUCCCAGGAUGGUGCUCGGCCACGUGCACAGCGCAGACCACGGAGCCCACGCGGCCGGUGAACAGCGUGCAGCCUGAAGGGGGGCCCAGCCCGGCUUCAGUACGCCUAGCCAAGCCGGACCGAUAAAAAUCAGCGCGGCCCAGGCCGUGACACGAAGAGCCGAAGGCUUCAAAAGAGGCCUUAGAUGCAGGGACAGGGGAACGACGGGAAAUAACCUAGGCCCACGUCAGGAACUCGGUCCAAUUCCCCAGAUUAACCGAGAGCCAAACAACAUUGCCGGGUGACAAGCGCCCUAACCUCUGGCUGCCUAGAAAGAUGACGUAAGGCGCGUGCCCCGCCAAUCGCGGAGUGCUCCGGCCCCGCCCGGUGCAUUGUGGAGCUUAGAGACCCACACUGGGUCUCGCGAGAGAGCCAGACGGGAAUCACGGAGACAAAGGCCGACAGAGAUGUCGCCUUCCCUUCUCAGAGUAGGCGGUCCUGGCGGGAGUGCACCAAUCACAACGCCUCUUCUUCCCGCCCGUGGGGAAUUGGUCCAGGGCUCACGUGAGUCGGCUGAGAGUCAUGUGAUGGCGCUGCCCCAGAGUCUGUAAUGAAGCCGGUGGCUUGCGGUAAAACCCGGAUUUGAAGAAGCCGCGAGCUUCCAGAGGGCAGGGCGCGUUCGGUCCCUUGCCUAGGAAAGGACCCGACGAAUGUGUCACGCGACUUCCCCUCGGACGCAGAGACGCUCCAAACGCUAUUCAGGGUUGGGUCGCUGAGCCCGGCAGAGCCCCUGCCUAGGCUGCCUUCGGCCCUGUCGUACCUGGGGGGAGGGUAGGCCCGUGUCCGCUCGGUGUGGCCGCCUUGUUACCUCUGCGACAGCGGUGAGGGCUCACAGGUGACUGCGGGGCCCCAGCCGAGGAGAGACGGUGGGGACGCACAGCCUGGAAGUGGGGAAUCGGGUGGACCAGCACCUUCUGAAGCCAGGUGGCGCCCACUUCCGUGCACAGCGAGUCACUGUUUCCUACGCAAGCUUUGGUGGCCCUGGACGACCACCCCUGUGCGUCCCAGGCUCCCAUGCCCCGUCGGCAGAAAUGCCAGGCCCCUUAAGCUUCUUGCACCAGAGCCAGCAAAAGAAGUGCAGGAGAGAGGAAUCAGGAAGCCAUAAGCGUGGGAGGAAGAGAAAUGGGCCCGGGCCUAAAAAGAAAUGGCUGUCCACAUUAGAUAAAAGAGGCAGAAAUCCCUGCCUUCACAGAACCUGCCUUUAGUGUCUGGAGAUGAGAAGCAAGAUGAAUAAAACCCACUCUUGGGCCAAGGAGGUAGAUCAGUGGUAGGGCACUUGCCUGAUAUUCGCAGGGCCCUGGGUUCAAUCUCUAGUGCCAAGGAAAUCAAAACAAAAACCCUGUAAUAUCUUGGAACGUAGUGGUACAGAGAAAAACUAAACCUAGGGACCUGUAGGAAGGGUGUGAGGAUGGGUGUCCUUUAUGUAGGGCCUUCUUAUGGGGCUGGGGAUGGAGGUCAGUCGUACAGUGUCUGCCUAGCAAGUACGAGACCCUAGGCUCGAUCCCAGUACUGCCAAAAAAAGAACAGAGGUGAGGGACAGUACUGCCAGCAGAGGGCGUGGCAGGUGCCCAGGGCCCUGGGCUGGGAAAGACCUGCAGGGCAGUGAGCGUGGGCGAUGCUAGCGGGUUGCCACCAAAGGAGGCCAUGGCAGGGUCCGCAAAGGGGCGUGGUCAGCCCUACUUGGUAACCGGCACCGUGUGCUGUUGGCCAGAGCACUGAGGACAGUGAGUGGACCACUUCGAUCAUGCACUUAGGAGGUGAGGGUAACCUGAACCCCAGUGGUGGCCGUGCAGAGAGAAGCAGUCAGAUCGCAGAGGCAUCCUGAAGGGAGGAUUACAGAGCUGUCUGGUUGGCUGGAAGCCUGUCUUCCCCUUCGUAGGGUCACCUCCACCUCAUUUCCGCUUCAAGCAUCCAGUCCACAGAGGGACAAGAGCUCAAUCUCAGCCCAUCUGGGAUCCCCUGCAGUGGCUGCUGCCAUGUCAUGGGGGGUGGGGAAUCUGGUCCCCUGUACUCCUGUCACCUAUGCUGGCACCCGCAGAGUCUGACCUCAGCACACACAGCAUGUCCUGCUGAAAUGGCACUGGAGGGCAGGCAGACCAAGGAAGAGAGCGGCACUCAGAGAACUGAAGGGUAAGCAGGUUUAUUAUUGCGAACAGGCCCAGCGAAGUCCCCUUCCAGGGCCUGAACCCCUUUUCUACAUUUGUCCUCAUAUUUAUCUGUUCUUCAGCCAGGGGAGGGGAGCAAGCAGGAAUUUACAGGAGCAGAACUUAGCACAAGGCAGGGAGGUGGAGGUGACAUUACUUUUUUAACUUUUCUUACAGUUUAUCUUAAAGACAUAGGGAGAUAGGGAGGUACAGGCUGGUGUUGUCUCAGCAAUUCAUCUGGGCACCGUGACCUUUGUGGGUCUAGCAAGAGGGCCGAGCCUUGAGACCCAUCAGCCUCGAGACUCAGCCUCUCUCCAGCCUUGAGACCAUCGGCCUCUGGUUUGUCCUUUGUUCCUUUCCAUUUCACAGCUUCACAUCUGUCUGAGCCCGCUUUGGAGGCAAGCAACUACCCCGCUGCUCUGAAAUUGCCAGGUGGUCUCCUCGCCAACAGCCCCCGGACACCCCCCAGCCUCCCCUCCGCCACCUUUGUCUAGGCCAGGCAGCAGCUGGCAGCCAGCUCCUUGCCUUGAUGCUGCCCUCCACAGCCUGGGGGAGCCUGGCUCGACACAGCCCCUCAUCCCUCCAUGUUUUGUAAGGCUCAGCUCUUGGAGCUUAGAGGCUACCACACAGGUGAGGCGGUCCGUGGGGUGAAGGUUCAGCAGGGUGUGUUUGGGGGGUGGACGGGGGGUGGACACACACCCCUUUGCCUCCUGGGACGGCGUGUGCUCAGAAGUGAGACAUUCCCAUCUGCCAGAGACCCCUGAAGGAAGUCCGUCCCCACCUGAUGACGCAGGCCUGAGAAUAAAAUACACUGGGAGACAGAACUAGGAGAGAGUGGGGCCAGGAUGCCCAAGGCCGGUGCAACCGGAACGGCCCUGGCCGGUCCCAGGCACUGACUCUUAUUGGCAAGCAAUUGGGGUAAAGGUGAGCUACGUGCAUUUUCUGUGGAAAUUCAUGUAAACAAGGCUCAGAAAGGAAAAGCCAAAGCAUUCUUGAAUUAGGAACAGAAUAGACAAAAUAUUGGUUGUAAUUAGAACAUCGUCCAUCUAGUCAGAAGGUCUUAGUUGUGGGAAUGGAGUUUGGGUGCAAGUUACUCUGACCUGGGCACGUAGGCUUCGGCCAGACUCACUUCUAUAAACAAGCCAGUCGUGGGUUUCACUCUUCACAGCCUACCUUGGGCAUGAUCAGUAUUACGUCCUCUGCACCCAUGGCUCAGAGUCACCUCUGGAAGGUCAAAUGCGAGGAGUGGACUUGUUUCUUUGCUGACAGCCCUUCCGAAGGCUGCAUGGAUGAAUGGUGGUUUCAAGGGGAAAUCAUGCUGGUUGAUAACCGGCCCCCCGAUUUGGGGUGUUUUGUAAUGUUUUUGGUUUGGUUUGGCUUUUGGAGACAAGGUCUCACUAUGUGGCUCAGGCUGGCCUUGAACUCACUCUAGAAGGCUGAGGCAGGAGGAUCGCAAGUUACAGUCCUGCCUGGGCAACUCAGCAGGGCAGCUGGCGGUAAAGGAGAGUUAUUGUUUGAUAGGUGGAGAAUUUUCAUUUGGGAGGAUAAAAACUAGAAAUGGACAGUGGUGCUGGUAGCACAACUCUACAGUUAUCCUUAUGCUGCAGAAUUACACAUUUUUUAAAAUGACUAAAAUGGUUAAAAAAAAAAAAGAUAAAUCAUAUGUAUAGUUUACCAUAAUUUUUUUAAAGCUGAAAUAAGCAGUUUAAGCAAGACUUCUACUUUUUGCAUUUCAAUGAAGAAAUCUUUACUUAAAAACAAAACAGGCGAGUGUGGUGGUGCAGGCCUGUGGAGGCUGAGGCAGGAGGAUCACCAUGAGUUUGAGGACAGCCUGGGCUACAUAGUGAGUUCAAGGCCAGACUGAACUAUACAGCAAGACCCUGUCUCCAAAAACCAGAUAGAUACAGGUUAGAUGAUAGAUAGACAGAUGCUAGAUCAGAUGAGAAAGUGACUCAGCAGGGCUGGGCUGCAGCUCAGGUAGAGCACUGCCCUAGCAGAUGUGAGACCCUGGCUCCAUCCCUAGCACAGCAGAAAGUAGAAAGGGAAACUCCACUAACAGCCCGUGUUUAUUAAACCCAUGCAGCGCUGUGCUGAGCGGGCACUGUCCGCAGACCUCAAGCCCCACAGGCUCUGCCACUAAAGCACUGGCACCAGACGGCUCUUCAGAUUUGUGCCUGGCCCCAGCCCCAGAGUCACAGCCUCGGAGGCAGGGGAGCCCUGCAGUGAGGACCUCGGUGGCCCCAAGCUCAUCUGCCCUCAGCAGCCGGUUUCCAGUGCAGGCCGCACCAGCUAGACACCAGGCCAUGAUUUCACAUGGGGAACAGAGUGCAGAGAAGUCAAAUAGUACUGGAGAUCGAACUCAGGACCUUGCACAUGUGAGGUAGGCAUGCGCCACUGUAGCGCUGCGGGGUGGCCUGCCUCCCCCUGUGGGGAGAUUUGCAUCCUGGUCCCAUUUACGUCAUUCUCGGCCCCGUGAGAAAACAGGCAAGUGACACGCAUCACCUUUAAGCAGAAGCCCAAGGGCAAUCAAGGCUCUGCACGGCCCAGCUCCGGCGACCACAGCAAAGCUCCAGCCCGCCCUUCAGGAAGAUGCAGCGGCCCAAACAGUGCCCCCUCCAGUCAGGGCCGCUGAACCAGAGCUGCGGGGUCUCCGCAGGGCGACCUCGCCUGCACCCCGAGGCAGUGACCUUUGUGUUCUGCCAGGUGGGGGCUGGAGUUUGCAGCACUCGGUUCUGCCACUUAGGGUGCAAACAUGGCAUCGGAACCUCCGCCUGGCCGCGACACGUGGCGUGCGAAGAGGACACAGGGCAGAACGCAGCGGCGAAGGAGGCCGGAUCCACCCAAAAGUGCGGGACUCAGGUAGAGCUGGCACCCCUGAGGGCGUGGUCUUGAGGCCACAGUGAAAUCCUGCUGUCCACACCUGUGGUUCCGCAGCCACCACCAGAGACCCCUGGGCUGAGGCUGAGUUUGCAGCCCCUCUCAUUCCGCGAGACCGCAGUAGAGAAGGAAGUGCAGGGCACACCUCCAGGCACCGCCAUUGGCACUAGAGCGCUCACAGAGGUACUGGCAAGUUCUCUUCUCUGUCCCCCUCAGACACAGCUUUGGCCCUUCUUUUUAUGAAGAACACAAUGAGUAACACACACACACAUGCACACACGAGCACGUGUGUGUGUAGUAGGGGGACUGAACCCAGGGCCUGUGCACUAAGCUGCCUCAGACUCCUAGCGUGUGGGGUUAGAGGUGUGUGGCACCACACCUGGCACAUCUGUCACUCUAAUCUGUCUGAAGUGGUCGACCCGACGGCCCCAGGAAGUCUUGGGCGGCUCCAUCUCCUGGCAGAGGGAGCCCUGUCUUCCGCCUUUACACAGCGAGGACUCGGCAUGGUGGGAGGGCCUGGUGGAGGAGAGCUGCUCACAUCUUGGUGACCAGGAAGCAGAGAAGGGAGCACUGGGACAGCGUCACCACUCUCCUAGGGCUGCCACAGCAGAGGACCGUGAACUCUGUGGCUGAGACUCGGGGAGCAGCCUCUCCCCAGCCUCCUCCUAGCUGCCAGGAAUCCGGGGGCGAGACAGAACCUUCUGGACCCAAGAGAGAGCCUGCCCUGUGCCUCUCCUUAUGGGCACCUGAUGGCUCCUGGCCACAUGUGGCCUCCUUGGCUGGUGGACGCAUUUCCCCUGUCUCUGUCUGUUGUCACAAGGCCUUCUUCCCGUGGACAUUUAUGUGUCUGGGUCCAGAUUUCCCUCUUCUUUUUGGUGUUUUGAGGCAGGUCUCACCAUGUAGGCCAGGCUGGCCUUGAACUCACAGAGAUCCUAUUGGAUUUAGGGCUCAUCCUAAUUCAGAGUGGUCUCAACUCGGUUUCAUCCACAAAGACUUAAUUUCCCAAUAAGGCCACAUUCACAGACCUGGCAGGCCUUCAGCAUGUUUUGAGGGAAGAAAAUUUGUUUCAUGGUGUCUUCCCAAAAGAGUUAGAGACAUCAUGUUACAGUGACCCAAGGACACGGUGUUUAUAGCAGCACGACUCAUCAUAGCUAAAUCUUGGAAGCAGUCUAUAAGCUCAUCAACGGAUGAAGAAAAUGUGGUAUUUACAGACAAUGGAGUACUACUCUGCCAUAAAGAAGGAUAGACGAGUCAUUUGUAGGACAAUGGGUGCAUCUUGAGACUGGAAUGUUGUGACACAAGUCAGACACACAUGGCUGACUAAAUAUCACAUGGCUUCUCUUAUAUAAGAAACCCAGAGUAAAAAUAAAGACCAAAUAAAAAACAUGAAAGAAAGGAAGCAGGUCUUUCUCAGAGGGAAAGGGCUUCAAGAGGUGGAGGAGGAGGGAGGGAAGGGAUAAGGACCACCAAGGAACGGAAACGUUAUUUGCUACAAACACGGACCCAAAAAGGGAGAGGAGGAAGGGGUGGGGGGAGGGAAGGGAAGGAGGUGAAGAAGAAAUGCCCGUAGGAAACAUGUACUAAUUAACAUUUAAAAACCAAUCCGUCGGUCAGUAAAAGGGCACAGACAGGUACCGGGAGUGGCCACACUACUAUCAUUGACAGCAAGUGCCUCCACGAGAAGUGGAGACAGUGACCUGCGGCCAAGCUCCAGCUUGCAGCGGUACAGCGGUUGAGGAGCCCGAGAGA